CGAUGGGGUAGAGGUGCAGAAUUUAAGAGUAAGCUGUGUGAGGAUGAUAACAAGGAUCACAGCCUAAAGGGAAUUUUGCCGAAGUAAAUGAAUUUGUGUCAACAAUCAUUUGCUGGGGUUACUUUGAAUAAGGGUAAUACUGUCAUUAUGAAGGACAAGCAGGAAAUCUGCUUUACUAAGCCUUCAUAUUGGGGAGCUACAGGUCGU
rnacentral:ncRNA from 2 species